UGACGAAAAACGAACUUUUCUACGUCAGAGAAUUGAGGCUAGGCUUGCUGCUCUACUGCUCGAGAGCAAGGAAUAUUCUGAAGCACUAAAUCUCCUCUCGGGUCUCGUCAAGGAGGUGCGAAGAUUGGACGAUAAGCUCCUAUUGGUCGAAAUCGACUUGCUCGAGAGCAAACUCCAUUUCUCGUUGAGAAACCUCCCCAAAGCUAAAGCUGCACUAACGGCAGCAAGAACUGCAGCAAACGCUAUCUACGUGCCUCCAGCUCAGCAGGGAACUAUUGAUCUACAGAGUGGG
rnacentral:lncRNA from 1 species